rnacentral:rRNA from 1 species
GGUUAAGCGACUAAGCGUACACGGUGGAUGCCCUGGCAGUCAGAGGCGAUGAAGGACGUGCUAAUCUGCGAUAAGCGUCGGUAAGGUGAUAUGAACCGUUAUAACCGGCGAUUUCCGAAUGGGGAAACCCAGUGUGUUUCGACACACUAUCAUUAACUGAAUCCAUAGGUUAAUGAGGCGAACCGGGGGAACUGAAACAUCUAAGUACCCCGAGGAAAAGAAAUCAACCGAGAUUCCCCCAGUAGCGGCGAGCGAACGGGGAGCAGCCCAGAGCCUGAAUCAGUGUGUGUGUUAGUGGAAGCGUCUGGAAAGGCGCGCGAUACAGGGUGACAGCCCCGUACACAAAAAUGCACAUGCUGUGAGCUCGAUGAGUAGGGCGGGACACGUGGUAUCCUGUCUGAAUAUGGGGGGACCAUCCUCCAAGGCUAAAUACUCCUGACUGACCGAUAGUGAACCAGUACCGUGAGGGAAAGGCGAAAAGAACCCCGGCGAGGGGAGUGAAAAAGAACCUGAAACCGUGUACGUACAAGCAGUGGGAGCACGCUUAGGCGUGUGACUGCGUACCUUUUGUAUAAUGGGUCAGCGACUUAUAUUCUGUAGCAAGGUUAACCGAAUAGGGGAGCCGAAGGGAAACCGAGUCUUAACUGGGCGUUAAGUUGCAGGGUAUAGACCCGAAACCCGGUGAUCUAGCCAUGGGCAGGUUGAAGGUUGGGUAACACUAACUGGAGGACCGAACCGACUAAUGUUGAAAAAUUAGCGGAUGACUUGUGGCUGGGGGUGAAAGGCCAAUCAAACCGGGAGAUAGCUGGUUCUCCCCGAAAGCUAUUUAGGUAGCGCCUCGUGAAUUCAUCUCCGGGGGUAGAGCACUGUUUCGGCAAGGGGGUCAUCCCGACUUACCAACCCGAUGCAAACUGCGAAUACCGGAGAAUGUUAUCACGGGAGACACACGGCGGGUGCUAACGUCCGUCGUGAAGAGGGAAACAACCCAGACCGCCAGCUAAGGUCCCAAAGUCAUGGUUAAGUGGGAAACGAUGUGGGAAGGCCCAGACAGCCAGGAUGUUGGCUUAGAAGCAGCCAUCAUUUAAAGAAAGCGUAAUAGCUCACUGGUCGAGUCGGCCUGCGCGGAAGAUGUAACGGGGCUAAACCAUGCACCGAAGCUGCGGCAGCGACGCUUAUGCGUUGUUGGGUAGGGGAGCGUUCUGUAAGCCUGUGAAGGUGUGCUGUGAGGCAUGCUGGAGGUAUCAGAAGUGCGAAUGCUGACAUAAGUAACGAUAAAGCGGGUGAAAAGCCCGCUCGCCGGAAGACCAAGGGUUCCUGUCCAACGUUAAUCGGGGCAGGGUGAGUCGACCCCUAAGGCGAGGCCGAAAGGCGUAGUCGAUGGGAAACAGGUUAAUAUUCCUGUACUUGGUGUUACUGCGAAGGGGGGACGGAGAAGGCUAUGUUGGCCGGGCGACGGUUGUCCCGGUUUAAGCGUGUAGGCUGGUUUUCCAGGCAAAUCCGGAAAAUCAAGGCUGAGGCGUGAUGACGAGGCACUACGGUGCUGAAGCAACAAAUGCCCUGCUUCCAGGAAAAGCCUCUAAGCAUCAGGUAACAUCAAAUCGUACCCCAAACCGACACAGGUGGUCAGGUAGAGAAUACCAAGGCGCUUGAGAGAACUCGGGUGAAGGAACUAGGCAAAAUGGUGCCGUAACUUCGGGAGAAGGCACGCUGAUAUGUAGGUGAAGUCCCUCGCGGAUGGAGCUGAAAUCAGUCGAAGAUACCAGCUGGCUGCAACUGUUUAUUAAAAACACAGCACUGUGCAAACACGAAAGUGGACGUAUACGGUGUGACGCCUGCCCGGUGCCGGAAGGUUAAUUGAUGGGGUCAGCGCAAGCGAAGCUCUUGAUCGAAGCCCCGGUAAACGGCGGCCGUAACUAUAACGGUCCUAAGGUAGCGAAAUUCCUUGUCGGGUAAGUUCCGACCUGCACGAAUGGCGUAAUGAUGGCCAGGCUGUCUCCACCCGAGACUCAGUGAAAUUGAACUCGCUGUGAAGAUGCAGUGUACCCGCGGCAAGACGGAAAGACCCCGUGAACCUUUACUAUAGCUUGACACUGAACAUUGAGCCUUGAUGUGUAGGAUAGGUGGGAGGCUU